rnacentral:tRNA from 1 species
GCGCCCGUAGCUCAAUGGAUAGAGCGUCUGACUACGGAUCAGGAGGUUAGGGGUUCGAGUCCUCUCGGGCGCGCCA